rnacentral:lncRNA from 1 species
AUGGAGAGUGCGUGCUUUGGAUUCAAGACUGGGAAUGAGGGGACCAGAAACCUAUUCUGUGGCUGUUUCUUGUUAGGACUUUCCUAAGCCUCUGGAAAAGUGCAAAGUACAAUUAACAUUUGAGUCUGUCUGAGUCAUGAAGAAAUGGAGAUUACUGAAAAUAAUUCAUUUUGGUAUCUUCUUACAUCCUGAGAGACUAAUCUUUCCAAGUUCAUCUGAGGCUCCUCUUCUCCAUGACAACCUCAUCCAGGGAUUUCUUCCUGUCCUGGUGUUUUAUGACAUCAUCCUCAUCUCGCUUGUAAGGAUAAUAGCCUUCCUCCAAACCUCACACACUUUUGGAGGAGAUCACUUUUUUUAAAGUGCAUGGAAAUGUUUUGAAACAGUGAAAUCUAUAAUGAUAGGUUUCAUAAUUCUAACAUCCACACCAUAUGAAUCACAUCCUUCCUGAGAUAAUGAGCACACAAUUGCCUGGAUACCUGAAGGAAUGGAGACAGCCGCAGAAAACACUGCAGAGAGGUGGAAACAUCCGUUAAUAUUUUAAAAUCCCAUUACUGCUACCAACAAUAAUAAUGGAUGCAUAGAAAUAGAUCUGGAUUAGCUGAGCUUGAAACAGUCCAUCUCACACACACGCAAAAGAAUUUCAGAUACAGUGAACCCACACGUUGAAGCUUUCUAGUAUAAUAAAAAUUUCAACUGUUCUGUUGAAUCAUCUGCCUGAUUGGAGGCUACAGAAAAGAUGUCAUCUUAGGAGUGCUUGCUCUGAGUGAGGCUCAUCUUCAAAUCUGAAUGACCACAAGGAGAUUUGAUUAUACAUGUGAACACCUCUGAAGGCACAGCCCGCCCAGAAGGCAGACAG